rnacentral:rRNA from 1 species
GACGAACGCUGGCGGCGCGCCUAACACAUGCAAGUCGAACGAGCGAGAGAGAGCUUGCUUUCUCGAGCGAGUGGUGAACGGGUGAGUAACGCGUGAGGAACCUGCCUCAAAGAGGGGGACAACAGUUGGAAACGACUGCUAAUACCGCAUAAGCCCACGGUGCCGCAUGGCACAGAGGGAAAAGGAGCAAUCCGCUUUGAGAUGGCCUCGCGUCCGAUUAGCUAGUUGGUGAGGUAAUGGCCCACCAAGGCGACGAUCGGUAGCCGGACUGAGAGGUUGAACGGCCACAUUGGGACUGAGACACGGCCCAGACUCCUACGGGAGGCAGCAGUGGGGAAUAUUGCACAAUGGGGGAAACCCUGAUGCAGCGACGCCGCGUGGAGGAAGAAGGUCUUCGGAUUGUAAACUCCUGUUGUUGGGGAAGAUAAUGACGGUACCCAACAAGGAAGUGACGGCUAACUACGUG